rnacentral:rRNA from 1 species
UACGAGAGGCCCAAACGUUAUUCGGAAUUACUGGGCGUAAAGCGUGCGCAGGCGGUUUUGUAAGCCAGAUGUGAAAUCCCCGGGCUUAACCUUGGAAUUGCACUUGUGACUGUGCGGCUGGAGUGCGGCAGAGGGGGAUGGAAUUCCGCGUGUAGCAGUGAAAUGCGUAGAUAUGCGGAGGAACACCGAUGGCGAAGGCAGUCCCCUGGGCCUGCACUGACGCUCAUGCACGAAAGCGUGGGGAGCAAACAGG